UACGGAGGGGGCAAGCGUUGUUCGGAAUUACUGGGCGUAAAGGGCGCGCAGGCGGCUGCUCAAGUCAGGCGUGAAAGGCCUGGGCUCAACCCGGGAAUUGCGCUUGAGACUGGGCUGGCUUGAGUGCGGGAGAGGAUGGUGGAAUUCCCAGUGUAGAGGUGAAAUUCGUAGAUAUUGGGAAGAACACUGGUGGCGAAGGCGGCCAUCUGGACCGCAACUGACGCUGAGGCGCGAAAGCGUGGGGAGCAAACAGG
rnacentral:rRNA from 1 species